AUGAGUUUGAUAGCAGGUGGCAGGGUUGGGGGGGUGGUCAGAGAACUCUGCUCUGAGUCAUGUUUGUUGAGAAAUGAGAAUGUACAGGCAAGUGUGGACUUUGAAAGACACCCAGGCAUGAGAAUCAAGCUGCAUCAUGACAGGAGUAGUAGCAACACCCAGAGCGACAGAACCAAAAAGCCAGUGCUAUGCCCUGGGGACCAGCUAUGUUCUGCUAAAUGCUGCAUAUCUCUAUCUGGUCUUCACAGUCUCUAUUUUGCAAUGGAGGAAACUGAGAUUCAGCAAGGUUACAUAAUAUAUGCAAGGUCACAGAGCUGCUAAAUUGAAAAGCUGACAUGUAGCAAGAUAGCAUAGGAAAACAAAACUUACAUUUGCUGGCUUAGCAGACUUAAAUUCCUUUCACUUNNNNNNNNNNNNNNNNNNNNNNNNNNNAAUACAUAUUUAUUCACCAAGUCUAUCCAUUAAACAUCUAAUCCAGGGCACUACUCUGAGCUUAGAGAAGAUGGUCUAACUCCCAAGGCAGAUGGACCUUUAGAUAAAUUUAUAGCCAAUUAGGGCUGGGAGCCAAUAGCAUUUUCUCUUAUGGAAAGUUGGGUUCAUGUUCCAUCACAAUAUUAUUUAAUGGCAAGACCCCAAGUGGAAUGUUCCAGAGACCUUUAGCAAUUGUGCACUGCAUGUUAUUUAAACUAAAAACAAUGCUGUGAAAAACUGCACUUCAGCACAAGCCACAGAGAGCAUGCAGAAUGGAAUUGGCCGCUGAAAAGGAGACAUGAUGAUUGAAAUAUUUUCCAGACUAUUACAUCCUUGAAGGGUUUAAACAGAGAGAAGGAAGACAGGGAAGGGGAGGAGGAUGAUUUAGGGUGUUUCAUUUAAGAACAACAGGAUUAAAUUAACCUUGGAGGUGGCGGAGNNNNNNNNNNNNNNNNNNNNNNNNNNNNNNNNNNNNNNNNNNNNNNNNNNNNNNNNNNNNNNNNNNNNNNNNNNNNNNNNNNNNNNNNNNNNNNNNNNNGGAGGGGGGGGGGGGGGUGGUAACAGCAGAGGGUGGUGGAGAGAAAUAUUUUGCAAGAUGUGAGAAGCUUCCCAAAGGAGAAGUACGCUGGAAUGCAGAAUUUUCCAGCCCAGCAAAGCAGGCAAAGCCAUCUAUCAUUAAAGCUAUUUACAAACUUGACAAAUAUAAGGGAAAAUAUUAAAAAUAUAUAGUAGAACCACAUUCUUCGUUUUAUGAAUGGAUGAACUAAUAUCUCUAAAUCAGGAAAAACUGCCUAUUUCUUGAGAUUUGUUUUCUCCCAUUUGUCAGUCUUAUUUCCCCAACUUUAAAACAAAUAUCACAUAGUAACUGGAGCUCUAAUAAAAUUUCAACCCCGAGAAGGAGAUGGGUUGCAUUGCAAUUUUUAAAUGUCUAUUAACUGAACUAUUAUAUUAAUAAAGCUGACUUCUUAAUCCUAUUUUACUUACAAUUUUCAGUCAGGCUGCAGAAAUUCUAAAUUACACAAAGCAGCCAAAAGAUGAAAAGAAAACUUCCAGAAUUAAAACCCAGCAGACCUAAACAUUUAUUGACUUCUCAGCAUACUGAGAAAAAUCAAAGGUUUGCUUGUGGGGGAAAGGAUGGGUGUGACAGGCCCAGCUUUGUCAGCUCUGAAAAUCAUCUAUAAGCAGUCUCAGCCAUCCUCACUGCUAAGCUAUUUUCAGAGAUAACCCCUAGGUCUGGAUUUGCAUGAUCAGAAUUACUGUUUGUGCACUGCUGCCCCCUGCUGGACAAAUGGAACUCAUUUUUGUCCAUGGCCCAAGGAAAUGCUAUUUGUAAAUCUAAAUUACUUUUUCAUUCCCUUCCUCCCAUCCCCCACUUGCAAUAGCACUCUCCCCAAGGACUCUGUUAGGAGACAAUUCCAUCUGAGCUAAUGGGCAAACAUCCCUUAUAAUGCAAUUAGUGGGAAUCCUCCUACUGCAACCCCAGUGACCCUGCAUCAGGAUGGCUUACCAGAGGCAGCAGAAAAUAUGAAACACACCAUCUUUCUGCUCCAAGGACCACUUUAUGAAAAUAUUCCAUUGAAUUAACAUUAAUUCAAGCCCUAGUGGUUUUUCUUCUCAGAGGAUCCAGGGUCAGCCAAAAUGUCAGCCAGAGCCUCCCUCCCUUUCAUUUGAUAUUUAUAUACGAUGCCUCCCUCUUAGUUGGCAGGGGACAGGGGUGGCUGCAUCCCUGGAAACCAAUCCAUCUCAAUGCCUCUAUAGAUGGAGGUUCUGCCUAAGUUCCAGAGCCCUGUGAACUGCCAACAGACCCUCAACAUGUGAGAGUCCACUGAGGCCUGGUGGGGCUGACCAGUUCAUUUUCAUUACUAGGCUCCUGGAAGGCAGUAUGCUUCAGAAAGAAUGGAGGGAAGGAAGGAAGGAAAGAAGUCUCAAGCGGGAUGACUUUGUCUCCAUUGUGCUAGGUGCUAGGAAUCCAAAGGUUGAUAAGCAACAUACACUUCAGCGGUCAGUCCUCAUCAUCUUGUCCACUGCAACCAAGCUGGCCAAGUCUCAAGUCUCAGGUCCAGUCUUAACAAAACCCCUUCCAGCAGACCCUCCCACCAUAUUUCUCUGAAUUUCUCUGCCCACCUCCAUGUGCCCAGUUAUCACUCCUACCACAGCUAGCUCCUCCUAGCCUGUGUGUCCUAGGGGAGCCUCUUGCUAUAAAACCAAUGGUUCUCAGAAUUCUCUGGGAAGUUGUCAUAAAGGCAAACUCUUGGGCCUCAAUCCAGGCUUGAUGAUUUAGAAAUUAGGGCCCAGAAAUCUGCAUUUCACAAGCCCUUGGGGAGAUUCUGAUGCUCACUCAAGUUUGAGAACUGUGGCUGUCAAGGUCUAGUUUUCUCCACACACCUACUCCCAACCAAAUGUCUCUUUAAUGCUGAUGGGGAAAAAACAUAAGGAGUCUGAUCAACCAUCCUCCAUACCUAUUAUUGAUGCUGAUGGGCUCUUCAUCCUCAGAUGCCUCGAUGAACAUGAAAUCUCUAGGGAAAGCUUCCGGUAAUCCUCAAGACUCUGACCAAGAAAACUAUCAUUCCCUCUCUCCUGUGUGAGCCCUCUGUCCUGGGUGACUCUAGUCAUCACAGAACAUCACUGUCCCAGGUCAUGCAGAGUGUGGUUCUAGAACAGCCUCACCUGCAUCCCCUGGGAACUUACGAGAAACCCAAGAUCCCAGGUCUUGCCCUAAACCUGCUGAUCAGAAUCUGCCGUCUUCUUGGUUUGCAGGGUGGGGUGGGGAAACAGAUGCUCAGGCUGGUUAAAGAACUUGCCAAGGUCAUAUGACAGCUGACUGGUGGAUUUGGGAUUAGGAUCCAGGAUUCCCCUGUGUAGCUGGCCUAGUAAACUUUCCCUUCUACCACGUUCCCUCUCUCGUUCAAUUCACUGUGCCAAC
rnacentral:lncRNA from 1 species